UUUAAGAAAAGUUGAACCUCCUCGUUACUGUCACACGAAAUCAGCGAUCAUAACUUCGCAGCAAACAACGACUUUUGGAUGAACAGCUCGUUCAGGCACCACGAGAAGCUUGGAGGGCUGCGCUCCGACUGCUCCUGGGUUUCCCUUUGAUCUCCAGACACCCUUACGAAGCACAAAAAAAAGAAAAUGUUGGAAAAACUCAACAGAUGUCCCAGAGUUGAAUGAAGAGCCAAUGAAAAGGCAUCUGAAGUUGAUAUGGCAGGAGUUGAUACAUUUCAUCACUGGCCCCUCAAAGCGCUUCAUCACAGUGGACGCAAGUGGUACUGGAUGAUAGUCAAUGAGGAGAUGUCUGGGUUUCCAUUGCAACAAAUCCCAGUUUUCUUUCUGACGUCAAUGCUGGAUCAGCAUUCUUUGAAAGGCAAUGGGUCACAGGGGUCGAUGCAUCAGAAUGCUGUGUAUCCAAAAGCUGUUGUAUCUGC